rnacentral:lncRNA from 1 species
UCUUCCUGCACAGUCUUUGCAGCCAAGCACCAAGUUAUAGGCACCUUUCUGCACACGUGGGCUAGGCACAGCAAACACAGCACUUGACCAGAGAAUAAUUUACAGUUAUAACAAGCCAGUGACUCCUAUCUAUCCCCUAACAAGAUUUUUGGCCCUUAGCGAUGGAAGCUGUAGUUCGUAAAAGUGCAGAUACAUUUUGUAAUGCUUAUUUUCCUUUAUCCAGAUAAUCUGGGUCUUGGGUCAAAUCCAUCAUUAACUAACCAAACCUCCCUCAACCCUGUAUUUUAUGAAGUUUCAGUAUGGAAAGGCUUUAAUGAGUUCCUGUUCAUGAUGAAACUUCCUACGUUGGAUGCAGCCCUGAACCUCACGCCAGUGCUGGCCUAGCAUGGGAUGGUGCUGUUUGACCUGGCCACCUGGAGCUGCACUGUUUGGCUACCAGCUUGUCACAGCGCCUUCCAGGACAGAUUCUCCAGGGAGUACAGGAAGAUACAUUACCUAAGGAUGGAGCAUGGAAGUUGCAGGAAGAGUCAAAACCUGUUGUUCGUUGAAUGCUAUGAUCAGUCCCUGCACAGGCAGCUCCUUGGUUUUUGCAAAACUCCUGGAAUGAAUGCUUGCAGCUCUUCCUGCACUGGAUACUCUCACCUUGCCUGCCCUGGGAUGCUCGCUCCUGGGUUUUGAUACCUGGAAGCACUCCUGUUAGCCAACAUCACCUUGGCUUGCCUGCAUUAGAGCAUGCUGUGCCUUUUUACUUUUCCAGCAUCCUUUUGGCUUUGAGUCUCAUCCCUCAGCCAUGAUCUAUUUCAUAUGUCAGCAAAUCUUCAUAGCAAAGCUGUAAUGCUGUCUUAUUACAGUACAGCGAGAGAGAGCAGGUACAUUGCUGGUACUUGGGUAGCAAAUGCCUGCCUAUCCUAUAUUCACCCUGAAUUUAUUGCUCUGAGGCUUUUUUGAACAUACAUAUGGAAAGCUACAUUGCCAAAACAAUUCAGGCCCACUUAAAAAGACGAUGGGAUUCUUAGAAAUAUCCAGAAAGACUUUUCCCUCAAUUUGCAAUGAAUAUACAGUGACCUGAAGUACUGACUGAGUAGGAAGGAGUGAACCUGCCCAGCUAAAUCAGAGACCUUUAGCCUUGAGUCUGUGUCAACUGCACAAAAUGAGCUCAGGCAGUUUGUGAGGCUGUGAAAUACAGAGAUACUUGCACAAAACCUUGAUCAUAUUGAAGGCCCAGGAGUUUAUCGAUUAAUGUCAGUGGAGUGAAGAUUUCACUUGGGAUUUGCUCGUGACUACUGGAUACCUAUAAAAUACACAAGUGCCACGAGCUGUCACUUCUCCAUCCCUUCCCUAAUAAAAUUCUGGGAAAUAACA